rnacentral:rRNA from 1 species
CCCUUAGAUGUUCUGGGCUGCACGCGCGCUACACUGAUGCAUGCAGCAAGUCUUUUCCUUGGCCGAGAGGCCUGGGCAAUCUUUGAAUAUGCAUCGUGAUGGGGAUAGACGAUUGCAAUUAUUCGUCUUCAACGAGGAAUUCCUAGUAAACGCAAGUCAUCAGCUUGCAUUGAUUACGUCCCUGCCCUUUGUACACACCGCCCGUCGCACCUACCGAUUGAAUGGUCCGGUGAAGGCUCCGGAGGCGUCUUUCUCAAUGUUUAUUCGGCGAGAUUGGUGCCAAAGUUGAAUGAACCUUACCAUUUAGAGGAAGGUGAAGUCGUAACA